rnacentral:rRNA from 1 species
AUUGAACGCUGGCGGCAUGCCUUACACAUGCAAGUCGAACGGCAGCACGGGAGCAAUCCUGGUGGCGAGUGGCGAACGGGUGAGUAAAGUAUCGGAACGUGCCCAGUCGUGGGGGAUAACGUAGCGAAAGCUACGCUAAUACCGCAUACGAUCUAUGGAUGAAAGCGGGGGAUCGCAAGACCUCGCGCGAUUGGAGCGGCCGAUAUCAGAUUAGGUAGUUGGUGGGGUAAAGGCUCACCAAGCCGACGAUCUGUAGCUGGUCUGAGAGGACGACCAGCCACACUGGGACUGAGACACGGCCCAGACUCCUACGGGAGGCAGCAGUGGGGAAUUUUGGACAAUGGGCGCAAGCCUGAUCCAACCAUGCCGCGUGCAGGAUGAAGGCCUUCGGGUUGUAAGCUGCUUUUGUACGGAACGAAAAGGUUUGGCUUAAUACGUUGAACUCAUGACGGUACCGUAAGAAUAAGCACCGGCUAACUACGUGCCAGCCGCCGCCGUAA